UACGUAGGGUGCGAGCGUUAAUCGGAAUUACUGGGCGUAAAGCGUGCGCAGGCGGUUCGUUGUGUCGGUGGUGAAAGCCCCGGGCUUAACCUGGGAAUGGCCAUGGAAACUGGCGAACUGGAGUGUGGCAGAGGGGGGUGGAAUUCCGCGUGUAGCAGUGAAAUGCGUAGAUAUGUGGAGGAACACCGAUGGCGAAGGCAGCCCCCUGGGUCAAGACUGACGCUCAUGCACGAAAGCGUGGGGAGCAAACAGG
rnacentral:rRNA from 1 species